rnacentral:rRNA from 1 species
AGCGCAGGCGGGAAGACAAGUUGGAAGUGAAAUCUAUGGGCUCAACCCAUAAACUGCUUUCAAAACUGUUUUUCUUGAGUAGUGCAGAGGUAGGCGGAAUUCCCGGUGUAGCGGUGGAAUGCGUAGAUAUCGGGAGGAACACCAGUGGCGAAGGCGGCCUACUGGGCACCAACUGACGCUGAGGCUCGAAAGUGUGGUAAGCAAACA